rnacentral:lncRNA from 1 species
UGGGUGGGAGAAUUAUGUACAUUAGUCAAGUGAUUGUCCAAUUUGGACAGUUUGAAAAUUGCAAUUAGUUUUUUGACAUGCUUUUAGGUGACAGCAGAGUUCUUUAUAAUAAAAAAUAAUAUUUAUUAUCUCAUAGGAUCUAUAUAUUAUGUUGGUGUCACUUAUUUUUGAUACAGUUAAUAGUUUGAAGGUAUACUAAAUAAGUGAUACAUUUGGCAUGAGGUAUACUAAACAAGUGAUACAUUUGGCAUGAGGUAUGCUAUGGUCCCUUUUUCUUAUUCCCACAUGAUGUGUUAAAUCUGAUGGGUUCAAUAUCGAUUUUACUUGUUAUAUUCUCAUAGUUGUCUUCUUGUUUUUCCUGAUGAUGAUCCAAACUUAAUGGAUAUUAAAGAGAAUGGAUCUGCAGAUAUACUAUGGCAUCUUUUUCUUAUUCCCAUAUGAUGUGUUAAACCUAAUGGGUGCAGAUUGAUUUUGCUUGCUAAAUUAUUAUGAUUACUUAUUUUGCCAUGAUUACGAUACAUUUGGCAUAAAGUAUACUAAACAAUUGAUACAUUUAGCACGAAGUAUGCCAUGGUCUCUUUUUUUUUAUUCUCAUAUGAUGUGUUAAAGCUGAUGGGUGCCGAUCGGUUUUGCUUGUUAUAUUCUUAUGGUUGCCUUCUUGUUUUUCCCAAUGAUGAUCCAAACAAUGGAUAUUGAAGGGAAUAGCUCUGCAGAUAUACUAUAUCAUCUUUUUCUUAUUCCCAUAUAAUGUGUUAAACCUGAUAGAUACCGAUCGGUUUUGCUUGCUAAAUUCUUAUGGUUGCUUACUUAUUUUGCCAUGAUUACGAUACAUUGAGCACAAGAUAUGCUAAACAACUGAUACAUUUGGCACGAAGUAUGCCAUGGUCUCUUUUUUUUUAUUCCCAUAUGAUGUGUUCAAGUUGAUGGGUGCCGAUCGAUUUUGCUUGCUGUAUUCUUAUGGUUGCCUUUUUGUUUUGUCUGGUGAUGAUCUAAAUUUAAUGGAUAUUGAAGAAAAUAGCUCCGCAGAUAUACUAUGGCAUCUUUUUCUUAUUCUCAUAUGAUGUGUUAAACCUGAGGGGUGCUAAUCGGUUUUAUUGACUAAAUUCUUAUGGUUGCUUACUUAUUUUGCCAUGAUUACGAUAUAUUUGGCACGAGGUAUGCUAAACAACUGAUACAUUUGGCACGAAGUAUGUCAUGGUCUCUUUUUCUUAUUCCCAUAUGACGUGUUAAAUAUGAUGGUUGCCUUAGCGGUCAUGGCUGAUUUUGUUAUUGGCUCGCAAGGUCCAUUUUCUUCGGAUUUUCUUAAUAUCCUAUGAGCAGAUUCUUGGGGGAUUCCUUUUGAACGAUGAUGUUGCUGGUUUGGAUAAAUGUGAUUUCGCUUGUUAUAUUUGCUGGCCUUUUUAUCUAUCUGCUCCCAGAUCAGCAUAGGCUUUGUUCUAGCCAGCUGAAAUGUUGGAGGAAUUCUUACUAGGGCCCUUGUUAUAUAUACCGGCACUGAGUUCUUUUGUGACAUUGGUUCUGUGUUUAAAUGGUUCAGUUAUUUUGUUCCAUUUCUGGGUGAUCUUAUGGAUCUGUUCAGGCCUCUGAUCAGCACAGAGGGGGCUCUUAUAGUCUAUUGUUUAUUGGCCCUGUGGCCUCCUGAGGACAGUGGUUCCAUGUUGGCAUUACUAUAUUUCAUAUAUAUUAUGACAUCUGCUGUUUACGAUGGGAUGCAGCUGCUGGGUCUAUUCCUGGCUCAUUUUCCACUUUCGUUAUUAUGUUACAGUUAGAAUUUUGUUGGGUCCUUGUCUCGUCGAGCCCUUAUAUGGUGUGGUUCCACAAUUUGCUAGCCUGUGCCAGUUCCAAGCAGCCGUGCCAUUUGGUAUUCUAUAUUACAAGAGAAAGGUUUGGCAUUGUUGGGAUCCUUGUUCUCUGAUUUUCGUUUCACUUUCACCUGCUGCUGUAUAUUUGUCUAUUUUAUUUCCUGCUGCACUGGUUGCCAAGUAUAAUGUCUCUAUUCAGCCAUUGGUUUGGGUUUCCUGUUGGCUGCUAAUUCAAGUUUGACUGGGCAGUAUCUACGGUUGAUUGCACCUAUUUAUUCUUGUUUUCUAGUCAACACCCUUGGCUUUCAGUUUUUCAUUAUCAAAGAAGUGGUGCUAUCAUCUAUGCUCAGCCUCUGUUAUGUUCUUUGGAGUUUUCUGACUGUUCAUUUCAUGUUUAAAAUGUGGUGGCAUGUCUAUAUGCCUUAUGUUGCAGCAUAUCUCAGUUUCAGGUUACUUGCUAUGCUAUUUCCUCACUGUAAACUUCUGUUAUGUACCUAUCAACUUUAUUUUCCCCCGCGCUCCAGUGGCUUACUUUUGUUUCUCCUCAUGUACUGGGUCAUCUCAGCAGUCUGCAUAUGUUAUGCCUCUUUUAUAUAUUUUCUUCUUUACCAAAAAAAAAAACAUGAUGUGUGCCACUGUAAUUUUGAUUCAUGCUGUUGGAAUUAAUGUUGUUGGGUAUGUAUUUUGCUUGC